AUGAAACCUAAUGAGUUAAAUCCAACUUACCUUUGGCAUUGCCGAUUAGGCCACGUCCAUUAUUCAUCGAUAAAUUAUGGUUCUCGUGCGGAACAAUGGUGUUAUAUGUGGGAAUUAACUUUUGAUUCCUGCGUUCUUUUCACAUUCAAACACUCAUAUAGCGAUUCACUGAAUUGGAGCUUUCUCGACCAAAAAAUAUAAAUCUUCUGAAUCUGAAAUGUAGAUCUCUCUUCUUGAUCCUCUCUAAU
rnacentral:lncRNA from 1 species